rnacentral:rRNA from 1 species
GACGAACGCUGGCGGCGUGCCUAACACAUGCAAGUCGAACGGGACUUAGUGGAAUGCGGCUUCGGCCAAAGGAAACUAAGUUUAGUGGCGAACGGGUGAGUAACGCGUGAGGAACCUGCCCUUCAGAGGGGGACAACAGUUGGAAACGACUGCUAAUACCGCAUAACGCAUAGGGGUCGCAUGAUUCUUAUGCCAAAGAUUUAUCGCUGAAAGAUGGCCUCGCGUCUGAUUAGCUAGUUGGUGAGGUAACGGCCCACCAAGGCGACGAUCAGUAGCCGGACUGAGAGGUUGAACGGCCACAUUGGGACUGAGAUACGGCCCAGACUCCUACGGGAGGCAGCAGUGGGGAAUAUUGGGCAAUGGGCGCAAGCCUGACCCAGCAACGCCGCGUGAAGGAAGAAGGCUUCGGGUUGUAAACUCUUUGUCAGGAAGAGUAGAAGACGGUACCUGGCGAAUAAGCCACGGCUAACUACGUG